UAUGUGAUCGUCUCUCGCAUAUCAAUAAGCGGAGGAAAAGAAACUAACAAGGAUUCCCUUAGUAACGGCGAGUGAAGCGGGAAGAGCUCAAAUUUGAAAUCUUCAAGGUUUUACCUUGACGAAUUGUAGUUUAAAGAAGUGUUUUCUGUUGAAGUUUUGGUAAAAGUUCUUUGGAAUAGGACAUCAUAGAGGGUGAGAAUCCCGUAUUUGACCAUUAUUUUCAGCUGUGUGAUACACUUUCAAAGAGUCAGAUUGUUUGGGAAUGCAGUCCAAAAUGGGUGGUAAAUUUCAUCUAAAGCUAAAUAUUGGCGAGAGACCGAUAGCGAACAAGUACCGUGAGGGAAAGAUGAAAAGAACUUUGAAAAGAGAGUUAAACAGUACGUGAAAUUGUCAAAAGGGAAGCGUUUGACACCAGUGUUGUUUUCUCGAAAAUCAAUUAAAAAGAGUUAGAUUUUGUUGUGUAUUGACCUUAACAGCUUGCAUUUCAAUUUUCUUGCUUUUUUUAAUGCACUUUUCGUUUAACAAGUCAACAUCAGUUUCUUUUGUUGUAAAGAGGGUCAUUGGAAGGUGGCUUUCUUUUCGGAGAAAGUGUUUAUAGCCUUUGACUCCUGCAAUCGGAGAGACUGAGGUCUGCAGCGUAGAUCCUUCGGGGUUAGAUACAUUUGUGUUAAGUUAUAGCUUUUUAUAGACAACUUGUUGACUAUGAUUAGUCUUGUAGCUUACUCGCUUAUGCUAUUUUACCUACGCUUAGGAUGUUGAAGAUGUAGCACAUCAU
rnacentral:rRNA from 1 species